rnacentral:sRNA from 1 species
AUGGGAAGGUGGGCUUCCUCUGAUACCUGUCACUCCACACAUCAUCAAGAUUAAUCCAGUUGAUCUGGUUGACUGGGCUGACAUUCUCCUUCUCUUUCCCCACU